rnacentral:rRNA from 1 species
CCUACGGGAGGCUGCAGUGGGGAAUAUUGGACAAUGGGCGAAAGCCUGAUCUAGCCAUGCCGCGUGUGUGAAGAAGGCCUUCGGGUUGUAAAGCACUUUCAGUGGGGAAGAAAGCCUUGGGGCUAAUACCCUCGAGGAAGGACAUCACCCACAGAAGAAGCACCGGCUAACUCCGUGCCAGCAGCCGCGGUAAUACGGAGGGUGCGAGCGUUAAUCGGAAUUACUGGGCGUAAAGCGCGCGUAGGCGGUCUGAUAAGCCGGUUGUGAAAGCCCCGGGCUCAACCUGGGAACGGCAUCCGGAACUGUCAGGCUAGAGUGCAGGAGAGGAAGGUAGAAUUCCCGGUGUAGCGGUGAAAUGCGUAGAGAUCGGGAGGAAUACCAGUGGCGAAGGCGGCCUUCUGGACUGACACUGACGCUGAGGUGCGAAAGCGUGGGUAGCAAACAGGAUUAGAUACCCCAGUAGUC